UACGUAGGGUGCAAGCGUUGUCCGGAAUUAUUGGGCGUAAAGAGCUCGUAGGCGGUCUGUCACGUCGGACGUGAAAAUCCAGGGCUCAACCCUGGACCUGCGGUGGGUACGGGCAGACUAGAGUGAUGUAGGGGAGACUGGAAUUCCUGGUGUAGCGGUGAAAUGCGCAGAUAUCAGGAGGAACACCGGUGGCGAAGGCGGUGGUCUGGGCCGGCACUGACGCUGAGGAGCGAAAGCGUGGGAGCAAACAGG
rnacentral:rRNA from 1 species